GUGAAUCAUCGAAUCUUUGAACGCAAAUUGCGCCUUUUUCGGAAAGCAUGUCUGUUUGAGGGCACCAUUUAACAAAUAAUGUGCAUUUCGUGUGCACUCGCUGAUGAGUUUUCCAACAUUAUGUAUUAUUCUUUUUUGUGGCGCAUAAUAAACAGCUCUAUGCUUUUUUUCUGUUCGAGUGUAGUAAAAUUUUUUCUUGCUUGGGUGUUGAAAAGCGUG
rnacentral:misc_RNA from 1 species